rnacentral:rRNA from 1 species
AUUGAACGCUGGCGGCAGGCCUAACACAUGCAAGUCGAGCGGUAGAGAGGUGCUUGCAUCUCUUGAGAGCGGCGGACGGGUGAGUAAUGCCUAGGAAUCUGCCUAGUGGUGGGGGAUAACGUUCGGAAACGGACGCUAAUACCGCAUACGUCCUACGGGAGAAAGCGGGGGAUCUUCGGACCUCGCGCCAUUAGAUGAGCCUAGGUCGGAUUAGCUAGUUGGUGAGGUAAUGGCUCACCAAGGCGACGAUCCGUAACUGGUCUGAGAGGAUGAUCAGUCACACUGGAACUGAGACACGGUCCAGACUCCUACGGGAGGCAGCAGUGGGGAAUAUUGGACAAUGGGCGAAAGCCUGAUCCAGCCAUGCCGCGUGUGUGAAGAAGGUCUUCGGAUUGUAAAGCACUUUAAGUUGGGAGGAAGGGCAGUAAGUUAAUACCUUGCUGUUUUGACGUUACCGACAGAAUAAGCACCGGCUAACUUCGUGCCAGCAGCCGCCGUAAUAC